CUCCUACGGGAGGCAGCAGUGGGGAAUUUUGGACAAUGGGGGCAACCCUGAUCCAGCACUGCCGCGUGUGUGAAGAAGGCCUUCGGGUUGUAAAGCACUUUUGUCCGGGAAGAAAUCGCACCUGAUAAUACCGGGUGUGGAUGACGGUACCGGAAGAAUAAGGACCGGCUAACUACGUGCCAGCAGCCGCGGUAAUACGUAGGGUCCAAGCGUUAAUCGGAAUUACUGGGCGUAAAGCGUGCGCAGGCGGUUGUGCAAGACCGAUGUGAAAUCCCCGGGCUUAACCUGGGAAUUGCAUUGGUGACUGCACGGCUAGAGUGUGUCAGAGGGGGGUAGAAUUCCACGUGUAGCAGUGAAAUGCGUAGAGAUGUGGAGGAAUACCGAUGGCGAAGGCAGCCCCCUGGGAUAACACUGACGCUCAUGCACGAAAGCGUGGGGAGCAAACAGGAUUAGAUACCCUGGUAGUCCACGCCCUAAACGAUGUCAACUAGUUGUUGGGGAUUCAUUUCCUUAGUAACGUAGCUAACGCGUGAAGUUGACCGCCUGGGGAGUACGGUCGCAAGAUUAAAACUCAAAGGAAUUGACGG
rnacentral:rRNA from 1 species